rnacentral:rRNA from 1 species
ACUUAAGCAUAUCAAUAAGCGGAGGAAAAGAAACCAACAGGGAUUGCCUCAGUAACGGCGAGUGAAGCGGCAACAGCUCAAAUUUGAAAUCUGACCCCUUCGGGGCCCGAGUUGUAAUUUGUAGAGGAUGCUUCGGGUGCGGUGCCGGUCUAAGUUCCUUGGAACAGGACGUCAUAGAGGGUGAGAAUCCCGUAUGCGACCGGCGGCCAACCCCGUGUGAAGCCCCUUCGACGAGUCGAGUUGUUUGGGAAUGCAGCUCAAAAUGGGUGGUAAAUUUCAUCUAAAGCUAAAUAUCGGCCAGAGACCGAUAGCGCACAAGUAGAGUGAUCGAAAGAUGAAAAGCACUUUGGAAAGAGAGUCAAACAGUACGUGAAAUUGUUGAAAGGGAAGCGCUUGCAACCAGACCUGCCCGCGGGCGAUCAGCCGUUAUUCUUAGCGGUGCACUCGUCCGCGAUCAGGCCAGCAUCGGUUCGGGCGGCCGGAUAAAGGCCUCGGGAAUGUAGCUCCCCCCGGGGAGUCUUAUAGCCCGGGGUGCAAUGCGGCCAGCCCGGACCGAGGACCGCGCUUCGGCUAGGAUGCUGGCGUAAUGGUUGUAAGCGACCCGUCUUGAAACACGGACC